rnacentral:rRNA from 1 species
CAGUAGCCGCGGGAAUACGAAGGGGGCUAGCGUUGUUCGGAUUUACUGGGCGUAAAGCGCACGUAGGCGGAUCGAUCAGUCAGGGGUGAAAUCCCAGAGCUCAACUCUGGAACUGCCUUUGAUACUGUCGAUCUGGAGUAUGGAAGAGGUGAGUGGAAUUCCGAGUGUAGAGGUGAAAUUCGUAGAUAUUCGGAGGAACACCAGUGGCGAAGGCGGCUCACUGGUCCAUUACUGACGCUGAGGUGCGAAAGCGUGUGGAGCAAACAGGAUUAGAUACCCCGGUAGUCCCUGUCUCUUAUAC